UACGGAGGGUGCAAGCGUUAGUCGGAAUUACUGGGCGUAAAGCGUGCGCAGGCGGUUUGUUAAGUCUGCUGUGAAAUCCCCGAGCUCAACUUGGGAAUUGCAGUGGAUACUGGCAAGCUAGAGUAUGGUAGAGGAAGGUGGAAUUCCCGGUGUAGCAGUGAAAUGCGUAGAGAUCGGGAGGAACACCAGUGGCGAAGGCGGCCUUCUGGACCAAUACUGACGCUCAUGCACGAAAGCGUGGGGAGCAAACAGG
rnacentral:rRNA from 1 species